AAUCCCACUCCUGGGCAUCUAUUUGGAGAAAAACGUAAUUUGAAAAUAUACAUGCACUCCCAAUGUUCAUUGCAGCACAAUUUUACAAUAUCCAAGACAUGAAAGCAACCUGAAUGUCAUUGACAGAGGAAUGGAUAAAGAAGUGGUAUAUACACACAGUGGAAUACUACUCAGCCAUAAAAAGAUGAAAUAAUGCCAUUUGGAGCAAGACGGGUGGACCUAAAGAUUAUCAUACCAAGUGAAGUAAGUCAUACAGAGUAAGACAAAUAUAUAUCAUUUAUAUGUGGAAUCUAAUAAAGCUGAUAUCAAAGAACUUAUUUAUAAAACAGAAACAAACUCACAGAUUUCAAAACCAGUCUUACAGCUACCAUAGGUGAAACCACCGGGGGAGGUAGAAAUUGGGAGGGUGAGAAUAACAUAUACAGACUACUGUAUAAAAUAGACGAUUUAACAAGAACCUACCAUUUGGCACACAUACACCAAAAGGUAGUACAAAGUAGUGCUUCCAAUUCAUAGCUGGUCAUCUAAAUUCACCCAGAGAGCUUUAAAAUGUAUAUAGAAAUCCGAACCCAACUGCAGACAGAGCUUCCAGAAAUAAGGCCCAAGUGUGUGUCUAUUUAAAAAAUCCCCUGUGGCCAUUCUGAUGAUCAGCUGCAGUGUAGAUCUACUGCUUAAAAAUUUGCACGCUAAUAUAUGGGGAGCCAAUUUGUGUAUUUUAAAUUGCAUGUGUAAUCUUGAAAAAUGAGCUCAUAAUUUUUCUUUGAUAUGAUUUCUAAAUGCUCAAAAUAAUCUAGAUAUUCAGUAGACUUUCUUGUCAAUAGCCAUUUGGAAAUCCCUUCACUAAUAAUUAGUCAAGAAAAAGUAAGAGAUGUUAAUCAGUUUAUCUCUAAAUGAUUGUAUUUUAGUGGGAAACAAAAGAUGAACCUAAAGAAUUACUAAGUGUGGCCUGAGGAUGAGCCAACAAUUAUAAUAAAAGAAAAAAACUUCAUGGAAUUUCCAUUGUGGCUGAGCAGAUUGAAGAUGCAGCAUAGUUUCUGUGAGGAUGUGGGUUCAGUCCCUGGCCUCUCUCAGUGGGUUAAGGAUCCAGUGUUGCUGCAAGUAGAGCUGUAGGCUCCAGAUAUGACUUGGAUCUGGUGUUGCCUUGGCUGUGCUGUAGGUCUCAGCUGCAGCGCCAAUUCAACCCUCAGCCUGGGAACUUGCAUAUGCCAUAGAUGCAGCUGUAAAAAGAAAAAAAAAAAAAAAAAAAAAAAAGGCAGUUAAGCUACUGUGAAUUUUAUAUCAGAUAUUUGCCCAUGCUUCUAGUAAUCACCUCUCCUUUUCUUAGAGAAGGAAACUCUAAUCCACACUCAAAUACAGAAUAUACAGAAAAAAUUAUUCUGGGAGAUGUAGUUUCCAGAUUCUUCUUUGUUAUACAGGAAGAUGUACCAAGAGAGAAUCUGACAAUCUUUAAAUGUUUAGAAUAAGAAAAAAUGAAAAUAAAUAAGCUGAAUAUUUAAAUUGGUUGGGGUUCAUUCAGGGAAACAAAUCACUCUUGGUAUUUCAACAGGAAGAAUUUACUUAUUUAUUUUUUAAAUUUUAAUUUCUUUAUAUAUAUUUUCUUUCUACUGCAACACAUGGUAACCCAGUUACACAUACAUGUAUACAUUCUUUUUUCUCACAUUAUGUGUUCCAUCAUAAUUGACCAGACAGAGUUCCCAGUGCUACACAGGGAGAAUUUAUAUCUUGUAUUUCUUUGCUCAGUGUUUCCUGUAAAUGAUCAAUCUUUGCCUCCAGUUUAUUUCCAAUGUCUUGCGUCAUUUUCAGCAUCAACAGUCUAAAGUCUUUUUCCUGGAGGCUAAUAACCUCCUCCUUGCUUAGCUGUUUUUCUGGGGUUUUUUCCUUUCUCCCUUAUCUGAGUUGUGGUUCUCUGCCUUUUCAUUUUUACAGGUUUUUGCUGUGGUGUCCUUUUUGCAGACAAUAGAGUUGUAGCCUCACUUCUUAUGUCUGUCCCCGUUGUGGCUGAAGUUGGUACAGGAGCUUGCUGUAGACUUCCUGGUGGGAGGGACUGGUCCUUGCCCACUGGUAGGUGGGGCUAAUUCCUAUCCCUCUGGUGGGUGGGGCUAGUCUCUGGGUGAGAGUAGAGGUGGCUGUGUGCCUGGGGGUGUUUAGGCAGCCUGUUUACUGAUGGGUGGGGUGUGAUCCCACCUGGGAUUAUUGUUUGGCCUGGGGCUUCUCAACGCUGAUAGGUGGGGCCAGAUUUUCCUAAAAUGGCCCCCUCCAGAGAAACACAUUCUGAUGAAUAUUCCCGAGAACUCUGCCUCCAAUGCUCUUCCCCCACAACAAGCCACAGUCACCCCCUGUUUCCCCAGGAGAUCCUCCAAGUACUGCAGUCAGGUCUGACCCAGAUUCCUAUGGUGCCUUUGCUCUGCCCUGGGACCCAGCGCAUGUGAAAGUCUGUGUGCACCUUUCAAGAAUGGGGUCUCUGUCUCCCCUAGUCCUGUGGAGCACAAGCCCCACUGGCCUUCAAUGCCACAUGCUCCAGGGGCUCUUUCUCCCAGUGCCAGAUCCUCAUGCAUGGGGAUUUGACGUGGGGCUCAGAACUCUCACUCCUGCAUGUGAGUCUCUGUGAUACAGUUACUUUCCAGUCUGUGGGGCUUCCCAUCUGGGAGGUAUGGGGUUGCUUAUAUUGUGUAAUUUUCCCUCUUACCUCUUGAUGUGGCCUCCUCUUUGUCUUCUGGAGUAGGAUAUCUUUUUGAAAGUUUCCAGUCCAUUUGGCUGAAGGUUGCUCAGCCUUUGGUUGUAAUUUUGUUGUUUCUAUACGAGAAGUUGAGCUCUAGUCCUUCUAUUCCACCAUCUUAGUCCCGUCUCCCCUCAAUGGGAAGAAUUUAAUGCAUGGAAUUUGUCAUUCAAGUGCUAGAGAACUAAAAAGGAACAAAGGGAACAUUAGUAGGGAUCUUUAGGAAAAGUUGCUACCAUCCUUAGGGGUGGAGAGAAUAAAAGAAGAGGCUGAGAUGAAUAGAAUUUAGAAGCUUCCUGGAAGGAGCCUACAAAGUUAGGACUCGGAAUUCGAAGAGAGGGUGCCACCUAACUGUCUGCUGCUGGUACCUCAGGGGCUUGGAGGAGGGACUCACAGAAUGGGGCUCUAAUCUCUGAACAGGGGAGGCUGCCCAGUUGGUGCUGGUACUUCAGAAGAUCCAGAGAGGUCUUGUUUUGUCCCAACUCUGACACAUCAGGAAUCAGCACUGCAUGGUUGGUGCUGUGAGGAGGCACAAUGAGGUGGGUGGAGGGAGUGUCCCAGUGAGCCGCAAGCUGUAAGCUUUAAUUCUUCUGCUGCCAGGAUAAAAGGCAAGCAGGGUGGCCUGGUAGGAUAAAUCAACAAGCGUCAAUAAACCAGCCCCUUCACCUGCCAUCCAGUCCUCUCACUAGUUCCUUCUAUUGAGGUAAAAGGUAGACUUUCUGACAAAGAGAAUUGUUUGUUGUUUGCAGAAUUUUCAUCACAAAGUAGAGUGUAGAAUUUUGAACCUGGCACAUUAUUCAGUGGAAAAAUUUUGGAAAAUAGCAACAGAAUAAGCCAAAAGUAUAAGAUAGAAAUAGUGGAGGGAAGAGAAGACAUAUAUAAAAUUGGACAUAGACAUUGGCUGUAGAAGACCAACAAAACUAAAUUUUGAGUCUUUGAGAAAACUAAUAAAAUAAAACUCUGGGAAGUUUGAGUCAUAAAAAG
rnacentral:lncRNA from 1 species